GUGCCAGCCGCCGCGGUAAUACCGGCAGCCCAAGUGAUGGCCGAUCUUAUUGGGCCUAAAGCGUCCGUAGCUGGCUGCGCAAGUCCGUCGGGAAAUCCACUCGCUCAACGAGUGGGCGUCCGACGGAAACUGCACAGCUUGGGACCGGAAGGCUCGAAGGGUACGUCCGGGGUAGGAGUGAAAUCCCGUAAUCCUGGACGGACCGCCGGUGGCGAAAGCGCCUCGGGAGGACGGACCCGACGGUGAGGGACGAAAGCCAGGGUCUCGAGCCGGAUUAGAUACCCUUGUAGUCC
rnacentral:rRNA from 1 species